AACGAACGCUGGCGGCAUGCCUAACACAUGCAAGUCGAACGAGACCUUCGUGUCUACUUGCGCACGGGUGCGUAACGCGUGGGAACCUUCCCGUAGAUUCGGAAUAACUCCCCGACAUGGGUGCUAAUACCGGGUAAUUUCUUCUGACCCAAGAUUUAUCGCCUUUGUAUGGGCCCGCGUUGGCUUAACUAGCUGGUAGUGUAAAAGCCUACCAAGGCGACGUUCCAUAGCUGGGCAGUGAGACUGAUCAGCCACUCUGGGACGGAGCCACGGCCGAGAAUCUUACGGGAGGGAGCAGAGGGGGAUCUUGGAAAACGGGCGAAAGCAAGAUCCAGCAAUGCUGCGUGAGUGAUGAAGGCGUUAGGGUUGUAAAGCUCUUUUACCCGGGACGAUACUGACAGUACCGGGAGAAUAAGCUCCGGCUAACUCCGUG
rnacentral:rRNA from 1 species